AAUAUAUAAAUUGUGUUCAGUUAAUAUGAGUUCUUUUAUAUUUUAGAGACUUGGAUCAUACUUGCAGCGCUAGCGGUACUUUUAGUUGGAAUAUGCAUCAUCUAUUGGAAAACAUGUACGUGUCUGCUUUUGGUUUUUGUUGCACUUUUUCUUUUAUCAAAGUCAAAACAGCGGAGAAAAGAUGAAGAACGUGAAGUGAAAACGAAACACGAUGACGCUGAUAAAAUAUCUCCUGAAAAGGUAAAUAAAUCAGUUAAUGUGGAUAUUUACAAAUCCCGA